GACGAACGCUGGCGGCGUGCUUAACACAUGCAAGUCGAACGGAAAGGCCCUGCUUUUGUGGGGUGCUCGAGUGGCGAACGGGUGAGUAACACGUGAGUAACCUGCCCUUGACUUUGGGAUAACUUCAGGAAACUGGGGCUAAUACCGCAUAGGAGCUCCUGCUGCAUGGUGUGGGUUGGAAAGUUUCGGCGGUUGGGGAUGGACGCGCGGCUUAUCAGCUUGUUGGUGGGGUAGUGUCUUACCAAGGCUUUGACGGGUAGCCGGCCUGAGAGGGUGACCGGCCACAUUAGGACUGAGAUACGGCCCAGACUCCAACGGGAGGCAGCGGUGGAGAAUAUUACACAAUGGGCGGAAGCCUGAUGCGACAACGCCGCGUGCGGGAAGACGGCCUUCGGGUUGUAAACCGCUUUCGCCUGUGACGAAGCGUGAGUGACGGUAAUGGGUAAAGAAGCACCGGCUAACUACGUG
rnacentral:rRNA from 1 species